AUAGUAAAUAAAAAUACAUUCUUAUUUCUUUUGUGACAGCCUAUUACAGAGAUCCUCUUCAUUUGGAUUUAAUACCUGUUUCUGAACUGCAUGAAGCUCACAGUUGAGGUUUCUGGGGCUCAUUCCUUCUAUGUCAGAAAGAGUUCAACAGGCUGGAAACAAGGGAAAACUGACAUUGGACUCAGGAAAAAAAUUUCAACUUAGACUUGCAAUUUAGAUGCAGUCGGAAGAUUUAAACGUGCGCAAACCUGGAAGAAGCUCUUGAUCGCCGAGAUUCGCUGCUUCGGAGCCGUUCCA
rnacentral:lncRNA from 1 species